UACAGAGGGUGCGAGCGUUGUCCGGAAUCACUGGGCGUAAAGGGCGCGUAGGUGGCGCGACAAGUCAGUGGUGAAAGUUCGACGCUUAACGUCGAAUCGGCCACUGAUACUGUUGGGCUUGAGCACUGUAGAGGCUAAUGGAAUUCCGGGUGUAGCGGUGGAAUGCGUAGAGAUCCGGAAGAACACCGGUGGCGAAGGCGGGUCUCUGGGCAGUAACUGACGGCUGAGGAGCGAAAGCGUGGGGAGCGAACAGG
rnacentral:rRNA from 1 species